CGGAGAUUCAGCAAUGGAUCUUAGUGGCGAACGGGUGAGUAACGCGUAGGCAAUCUGCCUUCUAGAUGGGGACAACAUCCCGAAAGGGGUGCUAAUACCGAAUGUUGUACCGUUUCCGCAUGGAGAUGAUACUAAAGGUGGCCUCUGAAUAUGCUACCGCUAGAAGAUGAGCCUGCGUCUGAUUAGCUAGUUGGAGGGGUAACGGCCCACCAAGGCUUCGAUCAGUAGCCGGUCUGAGAGGAUGAACGGCCACACUGGGACUGAGACACGGCCCAGACUCCUACGGGAGGCAGCAGUGGGGAAUCUUCCGCAAUGGACGAAAGUCUGACGGAGCAACGCCGCGUGAGUGAAGAAGGUUUUCGGAUC
rnacentral:rRNA from 1 species